rnacentral:sRNA from 1 species
CCCUAGAGCUGAGCUCCAGGCAGUGGUGAGCUGUCUAGUGUGAGGGAUGGGACCUGAACUUGGGUCCUUUGCAAGAGUAAUGUACUCUUAACCGCCAAGCCAUCUCUCUAGUGUUCCUUAAGGUAAUCCUUGAGUGAAGCCAGCAGGAGUCUCUCUUCAUACUGACUUUGUGGUAGGACAAAAUGCAUGAGCGAGACGUGCAGUGCAGAGCUAUGGCCUUGAUUUGUGUUAGAGUUCUACAGGAUUAUGCAACAUUGUUUUUAUGCCCUCUGUGCAAACGUCAGGUUCAUUACAAAGCCAAGUAGUGCCCAAGUGCUUGCUAUGGAUUAAGUACUUGUGUCCCCUCAAAAUUCAGAUGUUACAAACUGAAUCUCUGAAAUGAUGAUUAGGAGUGAAUGCCUUGCAGGGUCAUCUGAUUAUGAGGGCUGGGCCUUCACAAACAAAAUCGGGGCACUUAUUAAAGGGGCAGGAGAAGAGGCCUCAGAAAACUGCCUUCCCCUUCCAUUGCCUGAGGAUACAUCGAGCAAACGCCAUCUGUGAACUGGGAAAUGGCUUCUUCAGACGUCCCAGCAUCUAGAACUCUGAGAAGUAGGUCUAUAUUGUAAGAAAGCACCCAGGCUAGAGCAGCCACAACUCACUAACACACUGUAUCAUGAAAAUACUUUUGGCCUUAAAUAUCCUCUAAAGAGGGCUGUGGAAACUUCCAAGGGCCCUACAAGCACACUCUAAAGAAUUGUCCCACCCUUGCUGAAGAUCCAUUUUCUCCAGGACCAGCACCUCCCUGCACUGAACAUCCCACACUUACACCUGGGACUUUGCCCACACAGAGUCUGUCUAUGCAGGGGCUUUCCUGGUUAGUCAAAUGGCAUGCCAGAGAUACUUGGCUUCGUGCUGUUCCCACAGAACAUUUCUAUCUCUUUAAAGACAGGGUUUGCUUAGUCCAGACUGGUUUCUACCUUAGCCACUCAGUACCAGGAUUGUGGCUGUGCCACCAGGCUGUCCAGCUCAAACGUUGUCUCACCUUUGGGCUCUUCCAACUGAUUAAAACCAAUGAAGUCACUUAAAAAUUUUUCCCUUCAUGUUUAUUUCAUGCACAUGGGUGUUUUGCCUGUGUGUGUGUCUCUGCACAAUGUUCUUGCGGUGCUCAAACAAGCCAAAAGACGCCGUCAGCUCCCCUUGGAUUGGAGUCAGAUGGAUGUGAUGGGUGUUUACCAAGACGGUGCCGGAAGUCUCACUGUUGACCUCUGGAAGAGCAGCAGCUUGCAUUUGAACUGAAGUGUUCACAGCCCUCCGCCACUCCACAAGGACACAACCACAGGGAGCACAGAGACAGAAAUUUUCUUAUUUGACACUUACAGUUCAAAGAUAGUGAAUGGCUCUUGUUUCGUGAGGAUAAUCUUAGAGAAUUCUCAAGAGAUACGGCUUGAAGGAAAGCCUGCCUUUACAAUACUGGGAUGUCUACUGUGCCUCCUCCAUGAAACACGGGAGUGGUAGAGGAACUGCGGAAAAGCUGUGCUAGGCUACUGAGCUGCAGAACUGUUUGCUCGGCGCGCCCUCUUGUGGUCGAUUGCAGUAACUGCUUCUGUGCUACCUGUACCAUACAUGACCGGUUCAAGGUGUUGACCCUCAUAUUCCCAGCACAUUGUGCCUUGUUGGAAACCGAGAAUCUGCAUCUUCGCUGCUCCCAGGAGACUUCUAUGUGUGCUGAGUUUGAGAAAUGCUGGUGUGACUAUCGGCUUUGAUAAAACGGGUAUUUCUGCUGUGCUCUUGGUACGAGUUUGCUCUUUGAUGGACAGAAAAAAAGUCAUAGUAGCCAAGAGACAACCACCUCGGGCUCAUUUUUCACUGAUAAUGACAGAGAUCAAGACUCCAGCUCACCUCCAAGAUCCCAGAACCGCUGCCUGGGCAGCUGGGUUUAUAUCCUUUGCACUAAUUUUGCUUCACGGCUGGUAACUGUAGACAUUCCUUGUAUUCAUUGUGGUCAUUUUCUAUGUCCUUCCAAGGACAUGUACAGACUGUGCUUUAAAGGUUGGCCUCCAAGAUUUUUAACAAAAAUAUUUCUUUCUGUGCUGACUUUAAAAAUAAAAGAUUGGUUUCAUGAUAAGUGAUUAUAUCCUAAUUUUUAAAAUAAAACAAAAAAUAAGGACAUGGCGAAGGUAUAACAAGCUGAGAACCACAGGCCACUGCUCUAAAUCCCAACAGAAAACGUCCAAGGAGUGUCUGUAAUCUCAGCUCUCAGGAGGCUGAAGGGAAAGGCUCAAGCUCAAAGCCGACCUGAACCACACGGUGAGUGGCUGCCUAGAGAGACAGGAGGAUGGAUGGAGGAAAGAGAGUGGCGAAGACUUGUGUCAAUGGAGAACUGACCCCACAAAGGUGUCCUCUGAC